rnacentral:rRNA from 1 species
AGAAUGAACGCUGGCGGCGUGCUUUACACAUGCAAGUUGAGCGAGGCCACCCGCAAGGGUGAGUCGAGCGGCGAACGGGUGAGUAACGCGUGGAUAACCUGCCCUUUAGUGGGGAAUAACCCGGGGAAACUCGGGCUAAUACCGCAUAAGACCGAGAGGUGAAAGCGGGGUCGCAAGAUCUCGUGCUAAUGGAGGGGUCCGCGUUCGAUUAGCUAGUUGGUAGGGUAAUGGCCUACCAAGGCGACGAUCGAUAGCCGGCCUGAGAGGGUGAUCGGCCACACUGGAACUGAGACACGGUCCAGACUCCUACGGGAGGCAGCAGUGGGAAUUUGCGCAAUGGGCUAACGCCUGACGCAGCAACGCCGCGUGGAGGAUGAAGGUCUUGGAUUGUAAACUCCUGUCAGCAGGAAAAGGACUGGACCUAAUACGUCUGGACUUGAUUGUACCUGCAGAGGAAGCCCGGCUAACUCUGUGCCAGCAGCCGC